rnacentral:tRNA from 2 species
CCUUCGAUAGCUCAGUUGGUAGAGCGGUGGACUGUAGAUGUGCUUUGUCAAGCUUUCAAAUAGAAAUCCAUAGGUCACUGGUUCAAAUCCGGUUCGAAGGA